rnacentral:rRNA from 1 species
UGAGGAAUAUUGGUCAAUGGGCGCAAGCCUGAACAGCCAUCCCGCGUGCAGGAAGACGGCCCUAUGGGUUGUAAACUGCUUUUCCAGGGGGAGAAUUUUUCUGUCGUGACAGGAAUUGACGGUACCCUGGGAAUAAGCAUCGGCUAACUCCGUGCCAGCAGCCGCGGUAAUACGGAGGAUGCGAGCGUUAUCCGGAUUUAUUGGGUUUAAAGGGUGCGUAGGCGGAUUGAUAAGUCAGUGGUGAAAACCUGCAGCUUAACUGUAGACUUGCCGUUGAUACUGUCAGUCUUGAGUAUGGUCAAGGUAGGCGGAAUGUGUAAUGUAGCGGUGAAAUGCUUAGAUAUUACACAGAACACCGAUUGCGAAGGCAGCUUACUGGGCCAUUACUGACGCUGAGGCACGAAAGCGUGGGGAUCGAACAG